rnacentral:rRNA from 1 species
CCUACGGGAGGCAGCAGUGGGGAAUAUUGGACAAUGGGGGGAACCCUGAUCCAGCGACGCCGCGUGAGUGAAGAAGUAUUUCGGUAUGUAAAGCUCUAUCAGCAGGGAAGAAAGAAAUGACGGUACCUGACUAAGAAGCCCCGGCUAACUACGUGCCAGCAGCCGCGGUAAUACGUAGGGGGCAAGCGUUAUCCGGAUUUACUGGGUGUAAAGGGAGCGUAGACGGCACGUAAAGUCUGGUGUUAAAGGCAGAGGCUCAACUUCUGUACGGCACUGGAUACUUGCGAGCUAGAAUGCGGUAGAGGUAAAGGGAAUUCCUGGUGUAGCGGUGAAAUGCUUAGAUAUCAGGAGGAACAUCGGUGGCGUAAGCGCUUUACUGGGCCGUAAUUGACGCUGAGGAACGAAAGCCAGGGUAGCAAAUGGGAUUAGAUACCCUAGUAGUC